GACGAACGCUGGCGGCGUGCUUAACACAUGCAAGUCGAACGGUGAAGCGCUUUUCUUUUUGGUUGGUGUGGUUGAGUGGCGAACGGGUGAGUAACACUUGAGUAACCUGCCCUCUUCUUUUGGAUAACCGCAUGAAAGCGUGUCUAAUACGGGAUAUUCUGGUUCUGUCGCAUGAUUGGUCUGGUUCAGAUAUUGUUUCUGUGGGGGAUGGGCUCGCGGCCUAUCGGCUUGUUGUUGGUGUGCUGGCCUAGCAAGGCGGUGCCGGGUAGGCGGCCUGGGAGGGUGGACGGUCCCACAGGGACUGAGGCACGGGCGGGACUGCUACGGGGGGCAGCAGUGGAGAGGAUGGAGCAGUGGGGGAAAGCCUGAUACGGCGGCGACGCGGGAGCGGUGAAGGCCUGCGGGUUAUGAACCUCUUUCGCCAGUAAAGCGGGCCUGCCUCGGUUGUAGGUGGAUUGACGGUAGCUGGAUAAGAAGCACCGGCUAACUACGUG
rnacentral:rRNA from 1 species